UAACUUGAUAGUGACUUUGUAUUUUCUGU
rnacentral:piRNA from 1 species